rnacentral:rRNA from 1 species
GACGAACGCUGGCGGCGUGCUUAACACAUGCAAGUCGAACGGAAAGGCCCUGCUUUUGUGGGGUGCUCGAGUGGCGAACGGGUGAGUAACACUUGAGUAACCUGCCCUUGACUUUGGGAUAACUUCAGGAAACUGGGGCUAAUACCGGAUAGGAGCUCCUGCUGCAUGGUGGGGGUUGGAAAGUUUCGGCGGUUGGGGAUGGACUCGCGGCUUAUCAGCUUGUUGGUGGGGUAGUGGCUUACCAAGGCUUUGACGGGUAGCCGGCCUGAGAGGGUGACCGGCCACAUUGGGACUGAGAUACGGCCCAGACUACUACGGGAGGCAGCAGUGGGGAAUAUUGCACAAUGGGCGGAAGCCUGAUGCAGCAACGCCGCGUGCGGGAUGACGGCCUUCGGGUUGUAAACCGCUUUCGCCUGUGACGAAGCGUGAGUGACGGUAAUGGGUAAAGAAGCACCGGCUAACUACGUG